UACAGAGGUCCCAAGCGUUGUUCGGAUUCACUGGGCGUAAAGGGUGCGCAGGUGGCCUGACAAGUUCGAUGUGAAAGCCCCGGGCUUAACCCGGGAAUGGCAUUGAAUACUGCCGUGCUGGAGGGUUGGAGGGGGGACUGGAAUUCUUGGUGUAGCAGUGAAAUGCGUAGAUAUCAAGAGGAACACCAGUGGCGAAGGCGAGUCCCUGGACAACACCUGACACUGAGGCACGAAAGCCGGGGGAGCAAACAGG
rnacentral:rRNA from 1 species